UACAGAGGUCUCAAGCGUUGUUCGGAUUCAUUGGGCGUAAAGGGUGCGUAGGCGGCGCGGUAAGUCGGAUGUGAAAUCUUGGAGCUUAACUCCGAAACUGCAUUCGAUACUGCCGUGCUUGAGGACUGGAGAGGAGACUGGAAUUUACGGUGUAGCGGUGAAAUGCGUAGAUAUCGGGAGGAACACCAGUGGCGAAGGCGACUUCCUGGCCUGUUCUUGACGCUGAGGCGCGAAAGCGUGGGGAGCGAACCGG
rnacentral:rRNA from 1 species